UCCUCUCCUCUCCUCUCCUCUCCUCUCCUCUCCUCUCCUCUCCACUUCCCUCCUCCCGUCCUCUUUCCUGGCUGGUCCCCUCACCUGCUGAAAGCGAGCAGCAUCUCAGCACCCCCUCCUCCAUCUCCCUGUCCUGCUCUUGUGCCUCAGUUCCGCAUAGUAGAAUCAGAUUUCACUGCUGGGAUCCCGUACCUGUCGUUUACCUUCACUUUGCCCCUGAACAUCCCCUGAGCACUCAUUAGUCCUUAGAGGAUUCAACUUUUCCUUCAGUGCUCUCUCGUGUGUCCCUUCAGACUCCCCUUCUCAGGCUGCAGUCAGGCUAACUGUUUCUCCCUUCAUUCUUGAUGUCAUGUCUUCAUGUCCCCCCUCUUUCCAUCUCCAUCUUCCCUCUUCCUAUCUCCCUCUGUCUCAUCCUACCAUCUCCUGUGAGUGAUAAGCCCUAUUUUGUUUAAUUUACUCCUCUUGCAAAUCUGUUACAGAUUUUUAUUUCACGUUCAUGUCGCCUAUCUCCUCUGCAUCCCCUCUCUGCCUCCUGCUCCUCCUCUUCCCUCCUCCCCCCAGCCUUUUUCAGCAAUGCCCUUUCUGUUGCCUGCUGAGGCUCGUGCUUCAUUAAGUCCAGGCAAACUGCCACCAGGGUAACAAGUAAGAGGAGCAGAGGAGCCUAUAUGCAGAACACAGCAGAAGAGGCUCAUGAAUCAACAACCAGACAAGGAGUAAAUGAGGUAAUCAGUAAAGUGCUUCUGUUUCAUGGAUCGCUCUCCAGCUGACUGGGUGCUGUGGUUAAUGUGUCAGCAGCUGGAGGGAGAACGAGGAGGAGUGGAGAGAACAGGUGGGCGGCAGAGAGAGGGAAGCAGAGCGGAGGGCAAGAGUCUGGUGGAUUCAGAGGCUAAUUUGUGGGAUGGUGCCAAUAAACCUUAGACUGUCUCCCAGUAUCUCUUUGUUUGACAUCCUUCCUGUCUUGUUUCUUCAUCGCUGUUUCUAUCUGCCUUGAUCUUUAUCUCUACGUGACCCACACAUGUUCUUCAUCUCUUUGUUUUAUAUGAUAUUUCUCUAUGUAUGUGUGUCACGUUCUUGACCUGAACUAGGGGUUAGGUGUAGUACUAUUUUAAUAACCUAAUAUUUUAUGUGUGUGCACCUGUAAAAUGAAAUGAGAUCAAAUAUAUAUAUUGCCCAUGAAC